UUUGAUCUAUAUCAAAAAGAUAAAUUAUUUCAUUUCAAAAUGGAUUCUUGAAGUCAUUCUAAUCAUAACACUAAAUUCAUUUUAUUGAUACAUAAAUGUACUCACAAAUUCAAAUAUUUCAUCGAAUCAUUGAUAAAAUAGAUUCAAUAUGUUCUGUCCCUAAAGCAAAUUUUAAUUUUAUUUUUUUAUUGAAAAAUUAUUUUCAAAAAUUUGCGGAUCUCUAUCCUUCUUACCUGACCCAAUUUCCAAA
rnacentral:lncRNA from 1 species